UACAGAGGUCCCGAGCGUUGUUCGGAUUCACUGGGCGUAAAGGGUGCGUAGGUGGUGAGGUAAGUCGGAUGUGAAAUCUCCGGGCUCAACCCGGAAAUGGCAUUGGAAACUACCUUGCUGGAGGAUUUGAGGGGGGGAUUGGAAUACUUGGUGUAGCAGUGAAAUGCGUAGAUAUCAAGUGGAACACCAGUGGCGAAGGCGAAUCCCUGGAAAAUACCUGACACUGAGGCACGAAGGCCAGGGGAGCAAACGGG
rnacentral:rRNA from 1 species